ensembl:misc_RNA
UUAACAGCCGUAGAAACAAAAAUUAUCUGUUUAUCCACAGAAUGUUUAAGGCGCAGACAGUAUCAGUACGAGCUUCCCCUCACUGUUCUGCUAAUGUGCCUCACCACCAACCUGGAGAGACAAUUUAGGGGUGAGAGGAAAUUCAUUCUCCAUUCCCAUUAAGUCCUGGGCCUUC